AGAGUUUGAUCAUGGCUCAGAUUGAACGCUGGCGGCAUGCUUUACACAUGCAAGUCGAACGGUAACAGGCCGCAAGGUGCUGACGAGUGGCGAACGGGUGAGUAAUGCAUCGGAACGUGCCCAGUCGUGGGGGAUAACGCAGCGAAAGCUGCGCUAAUACCGCAUACGAUCUAUGGAUGAAAGCGGGGGACCGUAAGGCCUCGCGCGAUUGGAGCGGCCGAUGUCAGAUUAGGUAGUUGGUGGGGUAAAGGCUCACCAAGCCAACGAUCUGUAGCUGGUCUGAGAGGACGACCAGCCACACUGGGACUGAGACACGGCCCAGACUCCUACGGGAGGCAGCAGUGGGGAAUUUUGGACAAUGGGCGCAAGCCUGAUCCAGCAAUGCCGCGUGCAGGAAGAAGGCCUUCGGGUUGUAAACUGCUUUUGUACGGAACGAAACGGCUCUGGUUAAUACCUGGGGCUAAUGACGGUACCGUAAGAAUAAGCACCGGCUAACUACGUGCCAGCAGCCGCGGUAAUACGUAGGGUGCAAGCGUUAAUCGGAAUUACUGGGCGUAAAGCGUGCGCAGGCGGUUUUGUAAGACAGGCGUGAAAUCCCCGGGCUCAACCUGGGAAUGGCGCUUGUGACUGCAAAGCUGGAGUGCGGCAGAGGGGGAUGGAAUUCCGCGUGUAGCAGUGAAAUGCGUAGAUAUGCGGAGGA
rnacentral:rRNA from 1 species